rnacentral:misc_RNA from 1 species
UGCGGGAGCUGGCUUGCCAGCGAUGACGGAGUGUCAGGCGCCAUCAAUGCUGAUGCGCCGACGCCAUCGCUGGCAAGCCAGCUCCCACA